CGGGAGGGCACCUAGCUUGGGGCCUGAGCCUGGGAUUUCACCGCAGUUGGGGGACUGGUCUGGAGCCUGACUUAUCUGAUACCCUCUCCAGAAGAAGCCAACAAUGGUUUUUGAGUCAGGAGGUGACACAUGCGGUGUUGGAUGAGUCAGACCACUGGGAGCCGGGUCCCUGAAGCUGGGAACACAGGGCUGUCAUUCCAGAUCUGCCCUGAAGGCUGAUGUCUGGCUGCUCGGUUGGAUCAGCCAAUGGGAGGCAGCUGCAGGAGGUGGACAGGAGGGAAUAGAGUGGCCAGGCAUGCACUCUCCCCACAGGGCAACUGUGGUCACUGUC